AGCGAACGUUCGCGGCGGGCCUAACACAUGCAAGUCGAACGCGAAAGGGAUUCGUCCCCGGUAGCGUGGCGUCCGGGUGAGUAACACGUAGGAAACCUUCCCUCGAGCGGGGGAUAACGUCCCGAAAGGGACGCUAAUACCGCAUAUGCCCACGCCGACCUCGGUCGGAGAGGGGAAAGCUGGCCUCUGUAUACAAGCUAGCACUCGAGAAUGGUCCUGCGGCGCAUCAGCUAGUUGGUGGGGUAACGGCCUACCAAGGCGAAGACGCGUAGCUGGUCUGAGAGGAUGAUCAGCCACACUGGAACUGAAACACGGGCCAGACUCCUACGGGAGGCAGCAGUGGGGAAUAUUGGACAAUGGGCGCAAGCCUGAUCCAGCCACGCCGCGUGAGUGAUGAAGGCCUUCGGGUUGUAAAGCUCUGUGGGUAGGGACGAAAACGGUCCGGAAGAAACGACGGAUCCUUGACGGUACCUACUUAGCAAGCACCGGCUAACUCUGUGCCAGCCGCCGCCGUAACAC
rnacentral:rRNA from 1 species